rnacentral:lncRNA from 1 species
UUUUGACGCUUUAAUAUACGCGAAGUCUAGAAAACUGACUUAGAUGUUGAAUUUUUUCAAGAUUUUUUGCAUGCAUGUUUAUGACAUUAAACUACAGUUUUCCACGAAAAAAAUUAGAAUUUUUCGACAAGGAAAUAAAUAAUUAUGAAUUUUUGUUUCUAAUAAUUAUUAAUUACUUAAACAAUUCAUAGUUAAUUUAUCCCUAGUUUAAAAAAUCUAAAAUUUAACGAUGAAGGUUCUUAUGCUAUUCUAACCAUACCUAAAAAAAUUAGAGAACAAAAUUUGAUCCGGGAGCAUAUGCUUACUACGAAUAAAAUUGCAAUUUUGCAAGUUUUGGUUACGAAAUCAAAUAAAUUGAGGUUUAUUCCAAAUGCUAUAAAACUUUGAUUAUCCUUUCUAAGUAUUUUAUAUAGAUGUCUUUACAAAUAUUUGGCAUAAAAUUCAAUUUUUAGGUCGAGAUUUUUGUUAAUUUCAUUUUUGAAUUUUUUCACUUUAAAAAUUUAUAAUUAAUUCGUCUCUUGUCGAAAAGUUAUAAUUUUUUGUGGAACGUCAUAUUUUAACAUCGUUAACAUGUCUGCAAAAAAAUCAUAAAAAAUUCAACUUUUCAGACACUUUUCUGGAUUACGUGUAUAUUAAAGGGUAAAAAAUAGAGUAAAUUACACUCCCCUCCCCUCAAAGAUGUUUGAAUUACACUCUCCUCCCUCUUAAGUUAAAAUAUACACUCCCCUCCACUCUUAUUCAAAACAUAUUAGAAAAAAUUUCACUUCCCUCCUCUAAGAGAAGCUUGAAUUACAUCCCCCUCUCCUCUUAUGUUAAAAUCUACACUUUACUCCCUCAAUAUUCAUUUUUAUUAUUUCUAAUAAUCUAGCAAAAAUAAUAAUUUAACACACUUAAAAAAAAAUAGUAUUGCGGGUCUAUUUUAAUAUAAUAAAAAAUUGAAUACAUAUUUUUCGCUAUUUUUUAUUCACAAUUUCAUUAACAUGUAGUUUUAAACCCUAUUAUAAAAUAUGAAACAACCCAAAACAAAAUUAAAAUAUGUGAAAAAUUACUAAAAUCAUUAAAGCAUGAUCAUUUAAAAGUUAAUUUUAUACUCUAAUUUAUAAAAUCAAUAGCAAUAUAUUUAAAUUUAAUUAUCAUUGACAUUUAAACUAUAAAUAAAUGAAUUAAUUUUUCUUAAAUGGUGAUUCAAAAUUAAUAUAUAUUUUAAGAAUAUUUAUUUAUGUUCAAAUAGAUUAAAGUGUAGUGCAUAUUUAAUUAUUAAAGGAGGAGUUUGUAAUUCAAGCAUCUUAUAAGGGAGGGAAGUAUAAAUUUUAACACAAAAAAAAUUAUUGAUGGAGUAAAGUGUAUAUUUUAACUUAAGAGGGGAGGGGAGUGUAAUUCAAGCAUCUUUGAGGGGAGGGGAGUGUAAUUUACUCUAAAAAAUAAGAAGAAUUUCAAAUU